GUGCUGUAGAAAACAUGGAAUGGUAUUAGAAAUCUUCAGAUGGCAACUUUCAGUUGGAGCUUUCUCAUCUCUUAAUGCAGCAGCUCAGCUUCAUGUUGCAAACAAAACUGAAUUUUAAUAGAAACCAGAGAUAAAACUUGUUCAAAGUUAGGUGCAUCAAAUUUUCAAUAAAACUGGAACCAUUUCCAGGUUUUAUAGAUGCUAGAGACAAGGGCACUGUGUCCUGGUUUCAAACAUUUCACAGAGUUUUAAUGAUAAUUUCAUUAUAUCAGAAUCCUAAGAAGUGGAUUUUUUGUCUGUGGGUUGGAGCCACAGACCAAUAACUGAGCUGUGUCUGUUCCUGCUUAAGGCAGCCAGGGAUCCUUCCUAAACAGCUCCCUUCUGCUUCCCAGCAGAUGAAAGAUCCAGACUAGAUCGUGAUGUGUAUUAAAGCAGUGUCUCAUCACAUCUGAGAGCAGAGGAAGCUCCGUGGUGUAAAACAAGUGCCAGGGAUCUCUCCAGUAAGGCUCUCUGCUGUCAUCACAGUCAGUUAUCAGAGAGCUGGGGAUGGCUGAGCGCGCUGCCGAGAGCAGGCUCAGCACGGGCUGCACGGGGGGAUCCUGCUGCUCCUGCACUGGAGCCGAGCUUGGGGCUGGCAAAGGGGACAGUGCUCCUGGAGCCCAGACAAAGCUGGGCCUUAUUGCCCCAAAUCUGCAGCUGCAGCUGUCUGCUGGCCUACCAAAGGCUCUCUGCAGCUGUUGGAGGAUGCUGAUUUUUGGCAAACAUCCCAUCCUGGCCAGGUGACCUCACCGGAGGGUUAAUGGGAGAGCAGAGGGAGACACAGAGGGUGCUCUGCCAACCCUAAAAUCUCCCCAGGCUUCAAUGGGAUCCCAUCCCAAGCAGAGGUGAAUCUUCCAGUGCUGCUCCAUGGCCUGAACCUCCUCAGUGGGCAGAGAUAUCCCAGCCCCUGGGGCUGUCAAGACAACAUUUUUCAUCAGGCUAAAAUUAACUGUGCUCAUUGAAAUGCCAGGGAGCUCAGCGAUUAUCUGCUGGGAAAUGUCAUGUGGCUGCCUGGGCUGGGCCAGAUCUGCUCAGGCCCCUCCGACACAGACACUGCUGGCAGUGAUCUCCCUCCUCUGCCCUUGUUUGCCCAUUCUGUUGUGUCCAGGAUGACUUUUCUCCUUCUCCUGGAUGCUCUGAAGCUGUGGAACACCCACUGCCCAGGAAAUGAUGGCCUCAGAGGUGCAGUGGCAGCAAUGGAAGUUUAUGGGUAGCAAGGAAAAGGUCAGAUUUGGGGCAGCUGAUCCUGACAAGAGUCCCUUUGUGAUAAGGUGAAGAUAAUGAAUUCCCUGAGGUAAUCCCUGUGCCCAAUUCAUCAGGAGCACUGCGGGUGAUGCUGCCGCCCCCGAGACGCCCACGGAGCAGCCCUGGGAGUCAGAACUCCUGUCAGUAAUAUUGAUUUUGUCUUCACAGUGCUUAUUUCACCCAGCAAUGACCACAUCAGAUCUGCCCAGAAACUCGCUCUCCCUUUGGCCUUUUCCAUGGGCUGGCAGAGCCGCAGAGCCUCUCCCAUCCCAGAUGUGGAUGGGGAAAGGCGCGCCUGCCUUUGUGCCAUGGCUGGCUCUGUGGGGCACUCCUGGCUGCCCCGGAGCUCUCACUGCAAUAACACCACAUUUAUUAUCAUUAUCUUCCUCACCCAAAUGAACCCACAGCAUUUCAGGCUGGCUGGUGAGCUGCUGUUCUUCAGUGUGCUGUUACUCAGGCCUUUGAAAAGCCAAGAUAAUUUGAACGCAAUUUUUUUUUUUUAAGCCACAGUGUUUCACUUUGUAAAAACCCAAUGACUUGAAGGGUGUGAACUCCUCAGAAUUUACUCUACACUUUUCAUUUGAAGCUAUUUACCAUCUUUGCCUUCUACUGGGUCAGAAUUAAACUUAAAUGUCAGUAAA